CAGCAAGGACGACUUUGAUUCAAAUCCUCCUCCUCCUUACGAUAGAUUCAAACGAAGCGAUCAUUGAGGAAUCCCAGGACUUUCUAAAACGCUUUUGGACCUUGCUCAUUAUCCUUUUGGCACAUAAGAAGACAAAGGAACCUGAGAGGUAGCUCUGCUAGCAACGUUGCUAGCUCAACAAUGGCGACACAAUCCAGCAGUAGCAACAAACAAAGUACCAUCAAGUGGCUAUUAAUAAAAACAACAUCAGGCUAAAACUAUUAAACAAUAUCAAAGCAUCAAACUUUAACCAGGAAACCAACUAUUCAAACCACAAGUAGCAUAUAAAGUGAGUCACUAGACCGCAAGUUUAUGAAGG
rnacentral:lncRNA from 1 species